CAGUACCAAUCUCGGGGGAAUUCCAAAAUACAUCUUACUUUUGCAAUGGUGAAAUCUACCCACCCGACCAGGCGACUUGCUACCAUAUCAGUGCUCAGCCAACGACAUGGCAGGAUGCGUUUGAUUACUGCCACAAGCGGGGAGGGUGGCUGAUGAACGGACUGGAUGAUAUUCCUAGCCUUAUUGACGUUCGUGUAUUAGUGGAAAACAAGUUGCUGACUGUUUGGUCUGGUACCCAUAUAGAUGAAUAUCGUCUUUUGGCCGACAACUUCACGGCUCCCUAUAGG